CGUGAAUUUCAUCAAGUGGGAAAUACAAGACAAUAAUAUACACAGUUAACAUCAUAUUCAUUUAUGACAUCGUAACAGAAUGUGUGCCAACGAAAACUUGCAUUGGUGGUCUCAGUGAGAGUUUCAGUUCUGACCGUUCACAAACCAGUAUGUUCACUGGUUAAACCGCACUCGGUUGUGUAAAACAUGCAAUAACAUUAGAU
rnacentral:lncRNA from 1 species